rnacentral:rRNA from 1 species
GUGUCAGCAGCCGCGGUAAUACGGAGGGUGCUAGCGUUGUUCGGAAUCACUGGGCGUAAAGCGCGUGUAGGCGGCCUGUUAAGUCUGAUGUGAAAGCCCGGGGCUCACCCCCGGAAGUGCAUUGGAAACUGUCAGGCUAGAGUCCCGGAGAGGAGGGUGGAAUUCCUGGUGUAGCGGUGAAAUGCGUAGAUAUCAGGAGGAACACCGGUGGCGAAGGCGGCCCUCUGGACGGUGACUGACGCUGAGACGCGAAAGCGUGGGGAGCAAACAGGAUUAGAUACCCUGGUAGUCCACGCCGUAAACGAUGAGCACUAGGUGUCGCGGGUAUUGACCCCUGCGGUGCCGACGCUAACGCAUUAAGUGCUCCGCCUGGGGACUACGGCCGCAAGGUUAAA